CACGUAGUUAGCCGGGGCUUCUUAAUCAGGUACCGUCAUUUUCUUCCCUGCUGAUAGAGCUUUACAUACCGAAAUACUUCUUCACUCACGCGGCGUCGCUGCAUCAGGGUUUCCCCCAUUGUGUAAUAUUCCCCACUGCUGCCUCCCGCAGGAGUCUGGGCCGUGUCUCAGUCCCAAUGUGGCCGUUCACCCUCUCAGGCCGGCUACUGAUCGUCGCUUUGGUAGGCCGUUACCCUGCCAACUGGCUAAUCAGACGCGGGUCCAUCUCACACCGAUAAAUCUUUUCCGUCAGUGCCAUGCGGCACCAGCGGGUUAUGCGGUAUUAGCGGUCGUUUCCAACUGUUAUCCCCCUGUGUGAGGCAGGUUACCCACGCGUUACUCACCCGUCCGCCACUCAGUCACAAGAGACUUCAUCCGAAGAAUCAUUCUCAGGUGCUUCGUUCGACUUGCAUGUGUUAAGCACGCCGCCAGCGUUCAUCCUGAGCCAGGAUCAAA
rnacentral:rRNA from 1 species